AGGAUGCUUUCAUUGGAUUUGGAGGAAAUGUGAUCAGGCAACAAGUCAAGGAUAACGCCAAAUGGAUGCUUGCUCUUUGAACUCAGCCAUCAUGCUGUGAGGAAGCCCAGAUCACAAGGAGAGGCCACAUUUUGAUGUUCCAGUCAACAGUCCCAGCACAGGUUUCAGAUGACAGCCAACAUCAGUUGCCAGACAUGAGACUGAAGAAGGCUUUGUGAAGACUCCAGCCCCAGCCACUACAACAGCAUGAGAGACCCCAAGUGAAAAUCACCUGCCUGAACCCAUCAACUCCCAGAACCAUGAA
rnacentral:lncRNA from 10 species